AUGAGAGUUGAAAUGUGUUUGUUCAAAAUAUGUGAUUUUGUAUGCCGUUUUAGAGUUGCCUUAGGCGGCGCCCAGUUAACGUUGGUCCGUCAUUGUUAUCACUCCGGUGGCGGCAAGUUAGUCAUUUCAGUUUUAAUGCUUUGUCUUCGAGUUGCAUGAGAAGAGUCAGACGAGCGUGAGGUUUUUUUUCCUCGCGGUGCAAUAGCUCUGGCAGGUAAUGUUCUGUGCAGGCUAUGAGAAUAAUUAAAAGUAAGGUCUGAAUGUAUUUGUUCACAAUAUGUGCUUCUGUACAACUGCUUAACUUAGGUGGCUCCAAACUGGUCAGUUCAACCUGCUUUGUCUUCGAGAAGUCUUUAAGUCAUUCGGUGGCUUUUUUCCCGACAGUAUCAUGACUUAGGUAAGCAGUGUUUUAUAAAUAUUAAGUAAAGGGAUUUAAUUAUUGUUAAGGAUAUAGAGUUUUCUUUAUUUGUUUAUAAUAUGUUCAUUUUGUACAGUUGUGUGGGUGUCUUUGAGUUUUGAAUAAGGUUAAGUUAUAAGUGCAUUAAUAAUUUAUUUUUUUUAAAACCAAUGUAACCGUAUAAGAUAAGCUUGUGUGUUUUCUUCUCAUAGAUGUAUUUUCUUCUUUUAACUUCUUUUAAAUUUAUGUGCCUAUGUUUGCUUGGCGUGCUAUAAAUCUGUAUGUUUUAAAAAUGCAAAUAACUUAAGAGCUAUUUUAAAGCUUAAAUUCAUAGUUUUUUUUUUAUAUUCAUUUAACCAACUUGCUUGCUUUUAGUACUUUAAAGGGAUAGUUCACCCAAAAAUCAUAAUUAUGUCAUUAAUAACUCACUCUCAUGUCGUUCCAAACCCGUGAGACCUCCAUUUAAGAUAUUUUAGAUUUAGUCCUUUAGCCCUUUAGAGCUCUCAGUCCCUCUAUUGAAGCUGUGUGAACGGUCUACUGUGCAUGUCCGGAAAGGUAAGAAAAACAGCAUAAAAGUAGUCCAUGUGACAUCAUAGGGUCAGUUAGAAUUUUUUGAUGCAUCGAAAAUACAUUUUGGUCCAAAAAUAGCAAAAACUAUUACUUUAUUCAGCAUUGUCUUCUCUUCCGUGUCUGUUGUGAGAGAGAGUUAAAAACAAAGCAGUUUGUGAUAUCUGUUUCGUGAAUGAAUCAUUCGAUGUAACCGGAUCUUUUUGAACCAGUUCACCAAAUCGAACUGAAUUGUUUAAAACGGUUCGCGUCUCCAAUAACUUUUUAAUGUGACUGACACUCCCUCUGAGUCAGAACAAACCAAUAUCCCGGAGUAAUUCAUUUACUCAAACAGUACACUGACUGAACUGCUGUAAAGAGAGACCUGAAGAUGAACACCGAGCCGAGCCAGAUAACAAACAAAACAUUGACUUGUCGGUUUUCGGAUCACCAGUAGUUAUUUCGGACAGUUUGAUUCCAUAAACCGGUUGAAAAAAAAAAAACGGUUCACUGUUUCUUUUGCGCUCUAUGUAAUGACGUCAUUGGUGACGACUGCAAGCCUUCGGUUUACCCGCACUCAUAACAUUAGCACAGAAUCAGUUCAGAAUCAGUCACCAAAAGAAUCAGUUCAGGCGCUCUGUGUGUCGGUUUGAGUCACGCUGAAUCAGUCAGUGUACUGUUUGAGUAAAUGAAUUACUCCGGGAUAUUGGUUUGUUUGAACUCAGAGGGAGUGUCAGCCACAUUAACAAAGUUAACAGCUUAAACGCGCAGUAUGGAAUUUUUGGCCACCAGGGGUCACUUAAUCAAAAUAAUAACAUAAGACGUACUUUGAUGACGUCGGGAAAGAGCGUAAGGCUCAUGGGAGUUGUUGUUCAUUGGAAUACGCGCUCUGUCGCUCCCUAUCAUUCCUCACUCAUUCUAACUUAGUAUUUUGACAAUCACGUCUUUUCGAAAGGAAAGAUAUAGACGGUUUCAACGGCAACAACAGAAACAAACGUUACUGAGCAUGAGCGCUUUUGUGGACCUAACUUAGUCUCCAAAAAUAAAUAAAUGUAUGGGAAACACAUCCCACAGCACAACCACCUGAGCACUACUUCAGUCUACUCAUCACCUUGCCUUUAACUGUAAAAUGCAAGCGAGUUCGGCAUCUCUCUGUAGUUUCAGCUUGUCACAAAGCUCUCUCUAUCUUGGAAAUGCAAAUCCAAUAUUUACCCGUGUCUUGUUGCUUCUGUUGUCCCAAAACCAUCUCGGGUCAUUUAUUUCACCCGUGCGUUUGUGAUUCACAGAACGUGCAGGCAAAGCAUAAUCAUGAUCCAUAACUAAGUUAUUGAUUGAGGUUUAAAUACUAAUAUGAAUAUAAAAUAUAAUAGUCUCAAUCAAGGCUACUACUUUUUCUUCUUCGUCUCGUCUUUGUUUCUGUUCACCUUUGUAUUUGGUGGUUCCGCAGGAACUUAGAUAAACUAGCCGUGUCUUCUAAUUAAACUAUAAUUUUCUCCGGAUUUGAAAGUUCGUGGAAACUGUCUGGAUGAUUUAAGUACACAACUAAAAAAUAUAUAUAACGUAGAUAUAGUGAUUUCUGCUAUUUUUAAAGCAGAAAAAUUACAUAUUGCGUCUUUAAGUAAUUUGUGGAUUAAUGCUUAUUGGAGACGCGACCCGUUUAAAACGAUUCAGUUCGAUUUGGUGAACUGGUUCAAAAAGAUCUGGUUACAUCGAAUGAUUCGUUCGCAAACCGGAUAUGACGAACUGCUUUGUUUUGAAUUCUCUCAUAACAGACACGGAAGAGAAGACAAUGCUGAAUAAAGUCGUAGUUUUUGCUGUUUUUGGACCAAAAUGUAUUCUUGAUGCUUUAAAAAAUUCUAACUGACCCUCUGAUGUCACAUGGAAUCUAAAUCUAAAAUAUCUUAAACUGUGUCCUGAAGAUAAAUAGAGGUCUUACUGGUUUGGAACGACAUGAGGGUGAGUUAUUAAUAACAUAAAUUAUGAUUUUUGGGUGAACUAUCCCUUUAAGUUAUUAUUUUAUAUUGUUCUCUAGCAAUUAAUUAAUGUAUCCCUGGUGUUAAAAAAUAAAAUAAAAUCAUAUGUUGUUGCCAAAAUAAUUAGUUCUAACGUUAUUGUAUUUUUUUUUUUUUUUCUGAUUAGGUUGAUGCAGUGCAAGAUAUGCAGAUUUGAACACCCUGCCCAGGAGGUCCUUUUGAAACAUGACCAAUUGUGCCACUACCAGGGAAGAUACUGCCAACUACCCUGCCUCUACACAGAUUGCAUCUGCUCCUUUAAAACCACUGGUUGAAGUCUCACCUUAUCUUCACGUGAGAGUCACUUAACAUUGAAUGGUGAAUUGUGUGACUUUAAGGAAAUUUGUAAAACACCCUAUUACUCCAAACAUAUAU
ensembl:lncRNA